GAUGAACGCUGGCGGCGUGCCUAAUACAUGCAAGUCGAGCGAACAGAUAAGGAGCUUGCUCCUUUGACGUUAGCGGCGGACGGGUGAGUAACACGUGGGUAACCUACCUAUAAGACUGGAAUAACUCCGGGAAACCGGGGCUAAUGCCGGAUAACAUUUAGAACCGCACGGUUCUAAAGUGAAAGAUGGUUUUGCUAUCACUUAUAGAUGGACCCGCGCCGUAUUAGCUAGUUGGUAAGGUAACGGCUUACCAAGGCAACGAUACGUAGCCGACCUGAGAGGGUGAUCGGCCACACUGGAACUGAGACACGGUCCAGACUCCUACGGGAGGCAGCAGUAGGGAAUCUUCCGCAAUGGGCGAAAGCCUGACGGAGCAACGCCGCGUGAGUGAUGAAGGUCUUCGGAUCGUAAAACUCUGUUAUUAGGGAAGAACAAAUGUGUAAGUAACUGUGCACGUCUUGACGGUACCUAAUCAGAAAGCCACGGCUAACUACGUG
rnacentral:rRNA from 1 species